rnacentral:rRNA from 1 species
CAUGCAAGUCGAACGAUGAUGCCCAGCUUGCUGGGUGGAUUAGUGGCGAACGGGUGAGUAACACGUGAGUAACCUGCCCCUGACUCUGGGAUAAGCGUUGGAAACGACGUCUAAUACUGGAUAUGAUCACUGGCCGCAUGGUCUGGUGGUGGAAAGAUUUUUUGGUUGGGGAUGGACUCGCGGCCUAUCAGCUUGUUGGUGAGGUAAUGGCUCACCAAGGCGACGACGGGUAGCCGGCCUGAGAGGGUGACCGGCCACACUGGGACUGAGACACGGCCCAGACUCCUACGGGAGGCAGCAGUGGGGAAUAUUGCACAAUGGGCGAAAGCCUGAUGCAGCAACGCCGCGUGAGGGAUGACGGCCUUCGGGUUGUAAACCUCUUUUAGUAGGGAAGAAGCGAAAGUGACGGUACCUGCAGAAAAAGCACCGGCUAACUACGUGCCAGCAGCCGCGGUAAUACGUAGGGUGCAAGCGUUGUCCGGAAUUAUUGGGCGUAAAGAGCUCGUAGGCGGUUUGUCGCGUCUGCUGUGAAAUCCCGAGGCUCAACCUCGGGCUUGCAGUGGGUACGGGCAGACUAGAGUGCGGUAGGGGAGAUUGGAAUUCCUGGUGUAGCGGUGGAAUGCGCAGAUAUCAGGAGGAACACCGAUGGCGAAGGCAGAUCUCUGGGCCGUAACUGACGCUGAGGAGCGAAAGCAUGGGGAGCGAACAGGAUUAGAUACCCUGGUAGUCCAUGCCGUAAACGUUGGGCGCUAGAUGUAGGGACCUUUCCACGGUUUCUGUGUCGUAGCUAACGCAUUAAGCGCCCCGCCUGGGGAGUACGGCCGCAAGGCUAAAACUCAAAUGAAUUGACGGGGGCCCGCACAAGCGGCGGAGCAUGCGGAUUAAUUCGAUGCAACGCGAAGAACCUUACCAAGGCUUGACAUACACCGGAAACGGCCAGAGAUGGUCGCCCCCUUGUGGUCGGUGUACAGGUGGUGCAUGGUUGUCGUCAGCUCGUGUCGUGAGAUGUUGGGUUAAGUCCCGCAACGAGCGCAACCCUCGUUCUAUGUUGCCAGCGGGUUAUGGCGGGGACUCAUAGGAGACUGCCGGGGUCAACUCGGAGGAAGGUGGGGAUGACGUCAAAUCAUCAUGCCCCUUAUGUCUUGGGCUUCACGCAUGCUACAAUGGCCGGUACAAAGGGCUGCGAUACCGUAAGGUGGAGCGAAUCCCAAAAAGCCGGUCUCAGUUCGGAUUGAGGUCUGCAACUCGACCUCAUGAAGUCGGAGUCGCUAGUAAUCGCAGAUCAGCAACGCUGCGGUGAAUACGUUCCCGGGCCUUGUACACACCGCCCGUCAAGUCAUGAAAGUCGGUAACACCCGAAGCCGGUGGCCUAACCCUUGUGGAAGGAGCCGUCGAAGGUGGGAUCGGUGAUUAGGACUAAGUCGUAACAAGGUA